rnacentral:lncRNA from 1 species
AAGGUUGCAAAAUGGCGAGGGGGGAGGUGAUGCCACACUCAAUCAGAAACUAUGCUACUGCUGAAGAGGUAUAUUGAGCCCUGCCUGGUUAACCUCCAGUGAGGUUAUUAGAGAAUUGGGAGAGGCUCAAAUCAGCAUCCUGCACCUAGUUAUCAAACCAUUGUGAAGUCUUGAUUCCUGGAUGGCCAGAAAACUUGUCAUUGGUCAAGAGCAACAUUAAGAUCUGCCUGUUACUCAUACUGAUGCUUCCUGCCCAGCAAGUUCAUCAGAGGGCGAGGAUGAAUUACGGUUGCCAUGAAUGUCCUUGUGAGGCAGUUGGGAAGCCUUGGCUGGAUUGUGAAGGAUAUUUGAAAAGUAUUUUAGAGUCCACCAGAUCAUCCAUGUGAGUGACCAUGCAGCAAAAGAAGGAGGGUCCUCUCAGUGAUUAAGGAUUAUGAAGUAUUAAUUCUUCCACUGAUAUCUCAAAAGGUGAUCUGGACAAAGGAACAGGUAUCUCAGGAAUAACUCAUAUCCAUGAGUACAAUUAUACGCCAGUCCUGUGGGUCCUUGCAAAUCACUGAAACUACCCUUGUGCUGGGGCUCGCCAACGCAAAAGCACAGAUCUCAAACACAGCAGACAAAGACAUCAAGGAAGCUAAUACAAACAUGUUCAGAGAACUAAAGAAAACCACACUUAAAGAAGUAAUGUGCCAGGCGCAAUGGCUCACGCCUGUAAUCUCAGCACUUUGGGAGGCCGAGGUGGGUGGAACACCUGAGGUCAGGAGUUCAAGACCAGCCUGGCCAACAUGGUGAAACCCUGACUCUACUAAAAAUACACACAAAAAAGAAAAAAUAUUAGCCAGGCCUAGUGGCAGGUGCCUGUAAUUCCAGCUACUCAAGAGGCUGAGACAGGAGAAUCGCUUGAACUGGGGAGGUGGAGGUUGUGGUGAGCCGAGAUCGCACCACUGCACUCCAGCCUGGAUGACAGAGCAAGGCUCCAUCUCAAUCAAACAAAAAAAACCCCAAGACCCUAGCAGGCAGAGACACAAGCAGCUGGACGUUGAAAGGAACACAGCAGCAGCAGAAGACACAAGCGGCUGGACGUCA